GAUGAAGGAUCAGCAAGGUCUCCAGAGCCUGGAAACUGAUCUUCAGGGGGCUGACUUCAAACUUAAACUGAUGAACCAUUUGAGCCUAAUUAGGGGAUGCGACGUGAAAGAUGCUGUGUGGCGUUUAAUGAGGCGCACAAUUUCCAACACGCUGGCAAAAAAAACAUGAAUUGAAGAGGAGUAAAUAGAAAAAUCCCUCUUGCAUCCCUUUCUACUGAGCUGUUGUCCGGAAGAAAUCGUUAACAUAUAGAGCGUCUGAAAGCGAUGUGGAGUCGGCCAUGAAAAAGUGGUUGCAGCUGGCAGCAUACCGGGAAGGAGUGUGGUGGCCCCUGUGCCAUGAUGGACUUGGGAAAUGGGUGUAUUUAAGUGAUAAUGCCCAAGAAGAUAGAUUAUGUAGAUUAUAUACGUCAAGGGCCAGCAAACCGUGCCAAUAUAACCUCCAACAGCUUGGAGGGCAUUAUCACUUUUAUACAACGGUUACCGACAUAUUCAAAUAAUGAUUGACUUAUUUUCAUUAAAAACGUUAUUUUUGA